rnacentral:rRNA from 1 species
GAUGAACGCUGGCGGCGUGCCUAAUACAUGCAAGUCGAGCGAACAGAUGAGGAGCUUGCUCCUCUGACGUUAGCGGCGGACGGGUGAGUAACACGUGGAUAACCUACCUAUAAGACUGGGAUAACUUCGGGAAACCGGAGCUAAUACCGGAUAAUAUAUUGAACCGCAUGGUUCAAUAGUGAAAGACGGUUUUGCUGUCACUUAUAUAUGGAUCCGCGCCGCAUUAGCUAGUUGGUAAGGUAACGGCUUACCAAGGCAACGAUGCGUAGCCGACCUGAGAGGGUGAUAGACCACACUGGAACUUGAACAAGGUCCAGACGCCUAGGGGAGGCAGCAGUAGGGAAUCUUCCGCAAUGAGAGAAAGCCUGACGGAGCAACGACGCGUGAGUGAUGAAGGUCUUCGGAUCGUAAAACUCUGUUAUUAGGGAAGAACAAAUGUGUAAGUAACUAUGCACGUAUUGACGGUACCUAAUCAGAAAGACACGGCUAACUACGUG